AACGAACGCUGGCGGCAGGCUUAACACAUGCAAGUCGAACGCCCCGCAAGGGGAGUGGCGCACGGGUGAGUAACGCGUGGAUAUCUGCCUUUUGGUUCGGAAUAACCCCGGGAAACUGGGGCUAAUACCGGAUGGUUCCUACGGGAUAAAGAUUUAUCGCCAAAAGAUGAGUCCGCGUACGAUUAGCUAGUUGGUGAGGUAAUGGCUCACCAAGGCGACGAUCGUUAGCUGGUCUGAGAGGACGAUCAGCCACACUGGGACUGAGACACGGCCCAGACUCCUACGGGAGACAGCAGUGGGGAAUAUUGGACAAUGGGGGCAACCCUGAUCCAGCCAUGCCGCGUGAGUGAUGAAGGCCUUCGGGUUGUAAAGCUCUUUUGGCGGGGACGAUGAUGACGGUACCCGCAGAAUAAGCCCCGGCUAACUUCGUGCCAGCAGCCGCCGCAG
rnacentral:rRNA from 1 species